AUUAACAAAUUAAUGCUAAAAAGAAAGUUAGAAGCUUUCAUAGAAUAUUUCAAU
rnacentral:tRNA from 1 species